rnacentral:rRNA from 1 species
CUCCUACGGGAGGCAGCAGUAAGGAAUAUUGGUCAAUGGACGAAAGUCUGAACCAGCCAUGCCGCGUGAAGGAUGAAGGCCCUCUGGGUUGUAAACUUCUUUUAUCUGGGCGAAAAAAGGGAAUUCUUUCCCACUUGACGGUACCAGAGGAAUAAGCACCGGCUAACUCCGUGCCAGCAGCCGCGGUAAUAC